rnacentral:misc_RNA from 1 species
UCCGGUUUGUCACCGGCAGUCCCAUUAGAGUGCCCAACUGAAUGUGGCAACUAAUGGCAAGGGUUGCGCUCGUUGCGGGACUUAACCCAACAUCCCACGACACGAGCUGACGACAGCCAUGCAGCACCUGUGUUACGAUUCCCUUUCGGGCACCCCCGCCUCUCAGCAGGGUUCCGGACAUGUCAAGGGUAGGUAAGGUUGUUCGCGUUGCAUCGAAUUAAUCCACAUCAUCCACCGCUUGUGCGGGUCCCCGUCAAUUCCUUUGAGUUUUAACCUUGCGGCCGUACUCCCCAGGCGGUCGACUUCACGCGUUAGCUUCGGCACUGAGGAAUCACUUCCCCAACACCCAGUCGACAUCGUUUAGGGCGUGGACUAC